AUUGAACGCUGGCGGCGUGCUUUACACAUGCAAGUCGGACGAGCGGCGGACGGGUGAGUAAUGUCUGGGAAACUGCCUGAUGGAGGGGGAUAACUACUGGAAACGGUAGCUAAUACCGCAUCCCAUCAGAUGUGCACAGAUGGGAUUAGCUAGUAGGUGGGGUAAAGGCUCACCUAGGCGACGAUCCCUAGCUGGUCUGAGAGGAUGACCAGCCACACUGGAACUGGGACACGGUCCAGACUCCUACGGGAGGCAGCAGUGGGGAAUAUUGCACAAUGGGCGCAAGCCUGAUGCAGCCAUGCCGCGUGUGUGAAGAAGGCCUUCGGGUUGUAAAGCACUUUCAGCGGGGAGGCGUUACCCGCAGAAGAAGCACCGGCUAACUCCGUGCCAGCAGCCGCGGUAAUAC
rnacentral:rRNA from 1 species